AUGCAGUAAUAGCCAAUAGGUAAUAGCUGCAGUACAAAGUAGGUAUAAUAGGGAAAAUUAGCAUUUAAACCAAUUUUCAUAAUUGUAUACACUAUUCGUUCUCAUAGUAAUAUAUACAUUAUAAUAUAAUUAUUUGGUGACUUAAUGUCAACAAAAUUAAAGUUUCACCACAUCAGAUAAACGUUAAAAACAAAAUGUGACGUAUUAUGUUCAUUAAUUUAAAAUACGAUAAAUUACUAAGUAAUAAGAAAAACCUAAUGAUAAUUAAUGCAAAACGAAUUGUAAGUUGGAGAAACUAAGUAUAUAAUUAUUAUUUAUCAAUUUGGUUUCCUAUAAACCUAUAUAAAGGUCCUAAUCCGACCGAAACGAAUUUUGUGAAUUUUCAUAUAUAAUGAUCAUUAUUUUAGCGACACCACCUUUAAAAACACUUUUAUUCGUAUAAUGCAGUCAAUCUCACUUAAACCUCACAAAACUACGACUAUAAUCGCCUAAUUUAUUACUUUUUUAUAUCGCCUCUUGUAUAACCAUACAUCAACACGUCUUGCAACAAAUUAAUAAUAAAUUAUAUCUAUAGGUAGGUAAUUACUGAUGAAUACAUUUUAAAUUCAUAGUUUUAGAGAAAUUAAAUUCGGUCGAAUGUAUAUAAUAUUGCAGUCGUUAUUAUCUUUCUUGUACAAUUUGACUUGAUCUUUAAAAACUAAAAUUAAAACCUCAAAAAUCGUCCUCGGCCAUUCGAACCAUUCUCGAUUCGACAAUAUUUUCAAUCGACCAGAAGUCAUAGUGCACACGGUUUUAUAAAAAGGUGCGUUUCGUAUUAUAUACAUUAAUAUCGGAUGAGUAUUAGAUUGGGUUUAUCUAAUGCGCGCAUCGUUGUUCACGUCUUGUUCCCAUUCCGAAGUACACACGAAUGUUAACGCCUUUCGGGUUUUCCGUGACGAGAAGACAUCACAUUAUAUUACACAAAAUAAAAUCGACCGUGUUCCUCGGUUCUUCCAUCCGGUCGACACAGCGCACGGAAGUCUCCGACGCUCACGGGCCCUCGUCCGUCGAACCGUUCAACGAAAACGUUUUUUUUUUUUUUAUUCCCGACGCGCUGCGGCCUUCAGACGUAUUUCUCGUAACCGGACCGUCUCGUCGUCGUUGUCGCGUAUAUCCGCUGCCGCCGCCGACGUCGUUAAAAAUACAUCGCCGCCACCGCCCAGCGUUUUCCUGGACUCGAGUUAUCGGGGAUAUAACGUUAAUCGGAACGCGUUGACGCGAAAACGAUUUCUGAAAACUCGCACAAAACCAACACGAGAUCGCCAGGGUGCGAUCGUUGUUGUUAUUAUCACACUAUCAUCAUCAUCAUCAUCGAUUACUACAGUACUGGGCGGCUAAGUCAAACGCCGGUCACAGCGCACACAGGUGUCAACGAUGAUGAGGUAUAAAUGUAUAAUCCAAGUAAAAAAUAUCGUAGCCAGUGUCGUAUCGAGCUGCAGUUUGAAACGUAAUCGCGGAAGAGAUUUGAUUUCAAAAAACAUUCUAUGGAUCGGACUCGUCGGCAAAAAAAAAAAUAAGAAGAACGUACAAACGGCAGAGGCGAUCGAGAAGCGGUUUCAGGGUUUUUAUGGAAAAAAAAAAAAGAACAUAAUGUGAGAAAAUAUUAAAUAAUCAACACGCUUC